AAAAAAAUAAAAAAAAUAAAACCUCUCAUGGGGUAGACUAAGGGAGUUAUGUGGGACUUCGACUUGAAAUGUCGGCCAGACCAAAAUAAGAUACCACUAUACAAUCAUUUACUAUCUUCACAGCAUUACGUGAUUUCUCUCCCUAUAAAUACCCAAAGAAAGCCUCAAUGUUUUGACAUAAAAAACUCACAUUCAUCUUCAAUAUCUUGUUAUUCACACACCAUACACUCAAAAACACAUUUCUUUAUUCUACAAGAAAGAUGGAGAAUUUCCCAAUUAUCAACUUGGAAAAAUUAAAUGGUUCUGAAAAAGCUGCCACCAUGGAAAUGAUUAAGGAUGCUUGUGAAAACUGGGGCUUCUUUGAGGUAAAUCUCUUCAUAAAAAUGUUUCCUUAAUUAUGGGUUCUGAGCUUGCCAUAAAACCCAUAACUCGU
rnacentral:lncRNA from 1 species